UGCCAGCCGCCGCGGUAAUACGAAGGGUGCUAGCGUUGUUCGGAAUUACUGGGCGUAAAGAGCAUGUAGGCGGAUGAAUUAGUCAGAGGUGAGAGCCCCGAGCUCAACUUGGGAACUGCCUUCAAAACUGCCAGUCUUGAGUUCGGGAGAGGUGAGUGGAAUUCCUAGUGUAGAGGUGAAAUUCGUAGAUAUUAGGAAGAACACCAGUGGCGAAGGCGACUCACUGGCCCGAUACUGACGCUGAGGCGCGAAAGCGUGGGGAGCAAACAGGAUUAGAUA
rnacentral:rRNA from 1 species